AGAGUUUGAUCCUGGCUCAGGACAAACGCUGGCGGCGUGCCUAACACAUGCAAGUCGAGCGCGAAAGGGACCUUCGGGUCCCCUGAGAGCGGCGAACGGGUGAGUAACACGUGGGCAACCUGCCUCAAGGACUGGGAUAACUCCGGGAAACCGGGGCUAAUGCCGGGCGAUGUAGUCUCGCGCAAGCGAGCCUACCAAAUGGUAGCUUCGGCCUCCGCCUUGAGAUGGGCCCGCGUCCUAUCAGCUUGUUGGUGAGGUAAUGGCUCACCAAGGCUACGACGGGUAGCUGGUCUGAGAGGAUGAUCAGCCACACUGGGACUGAGAUACGGCCCAGACUCCUACGGGAGGCAGCAGUGGGGAAUCUUGCGCAAUGGGCGAAAGCCUGACGCAGCAACGCCGCGUGAGCGAAGAAGGCCUUCGGGUUGUAAAGCUCUGUCAGGAGGAAAGAAGGCACCUGGGUUAAUAGCCCAAGGGCUGACGGUACCUCCAAAGGAAGCCACGGCUAACUACGUGCCAGCAGCCGCGGUAAUACGUAGGUGGCAAGCGUUGUCCGGAAUCAUUGGGCGUAAAGAGCGCGUAGGUGGCUUGUCAGGUCUGAUGUGAAAACUUGGGGCUCAACCCCAAGCCUGCAUCGGAAACCGGCUUGCUAGAGUCUGGGAGAGGAGAGUGGAAUUCCUGGUGUAGCGGUGAAAUGCGUAGAUAUCAGGAGGAACACCGGUAGCGAAGGCGGCUCUCUGGAACAGUACUGACACUGAGGCGCGAAAGCUAGGGGAGCGAACAGGAUUAGAUACCCUGGUAGUCCUAGCCGUAAACGAUGGACACUAGGUGUCGGGGGUGUCGACUCCCCCGGUGCCGAAGCUAACGCAUUAAGUGUCCCGCCUGGGGAGUACGGCCGCAAGGCUAAAACUCAAAGGAAUUGACGG
rnacentral:rRNA from 1 species